GCUCUUUCGGCAGUGGGCUGGAAAGUGCUAUUAAAACAUGGCUGUUUCAUAAUUUCCCUAUUGGAAAAUGGUAAACAAGGGAAAGAAAGAGGAGUUCCAGACCCUGCAUACCAAAAUAUUACAGACACACAGGAAAUGACUCUUCAAAUCCAGGCUGUAAACCUGUCAUUUCGUGGGCUUGUCUGUGGGCCUAGAAAAGCGAGACAAAGAUCACACCGAAGACAUUACUGUUUGGGGCUGGCUGUACUGGAGGACCUCUGGAGGCCUUUCCAUGCCAGGUGCUAUGAUUCUAAACUCAAGUCAUAAAAUGAAAUGUUAGAGGAAAGCCAAUGAAAUUUGAGGCAGAACUUGUGGCUUAAAGCUCAUUUUGCUUUAAAAAAUGUAGACUUUGAAAAACUGUUCUUUACAAGCAACAAAAAUUUUUUAAAGAAACUGAAAAGCUAAAAAAUAUUUUUUGGGGGGAGGGAG
rnacentral:lncRNA from 10 species